NNNNNNNNNNNNNNNGAUCCAUCAGCUCCAUUCACCAUGGAGGUUGACGCUUCUGACACCGGGGUUGGAGCUGUCCUGUCCCAAGUUUCAUCCUCUGAUCAGCUUCUCCAUCCCUGCGCGUUCUAUUCCCGGCGUCUUUCCCCAGCCGAGCAGAACUAUGAUGUUGGUGAUCGGGAGUUGUUGGCGGUGAAGCUGGCUUUGGAGGAGUGGCGUCACUGGUUGGAAGGAGCAGAACACCCGAUUACCAUUUGGACAGAUCAUAAAAACCUAUCAUACCUGAAGGAGGCUAAAAGACUCAAUCCCCGUCAAUCCCGUUGGUCCCUGUUUUUCUCCAGAUUUAACUUCACCAUCUCUUACAGACCCGGUUCAAAGAACGUUAAACCAGACGCCCUUUCUCGACAAUAUGCCUCCGACAGGGAAGUGGAGCCUUCCACCAUCAUCCCUGCCUCCUGCAUAGUCGGCUCUAUCACAUGGGACAUUACCAACAAGGUCCUGGAGGCUCAACGGCAGGAACCCGACCCAGGUACCGGUCCUCCUAAUAAGAUUUUUGUUCCCACCAGUACCUGGGGCCCACUCAUUCACUGGGCCCACACUGCCAAGUUCUCCAUUCAUCCAGGUCUGGGAAGGACCAUCUCUCUAAUCCGAAGGACAUUUUGGUGGCCCUCCAUGUACCGGGAUGUUAAGGAGUAUAUCAGUGCCUGUCAGGUAUGUGCCAGACACAAGUCUAGUAACCAGCCUCCUCAGGGUCUUCUCCAACCUCUGCCUGUGCCCCAUCGACCAUGGUCUCAUAUAGCUCUGGACUUCGUUACUGGUCUCCCUCUGUCUAAGGGCUUCACCGUCAUACUCAUCAUUGUCGACCGCUUCUCAAAAGCCUGUCAUUUGGUUCCCCUGAAAUCCCUUCCUUCUUCUACCGAAACAGCCAACCUGCUCAUCAAACACCUUUUCCGCCUGCAUGGAUUACCCAGCGAGAUCCUCUCUGAUCGUGGACCCCAGUUCGUUGCCCGAGUAUGGACUGACUUUGCUAAACACCUGGGAGCCAAGGUUAGUCUCANGCCUGCAUGGGUUACCCAGCGAGAUCCUCUCUGAUCGUGGACCUCAGUUCGUUGCCCGAGUGUGGACUGACUUUGCUAAACACCUGGGAGC
rnacentral:lncRNA from 1 species